rnacentral:rRNA from 1 species
CCCUUAGAUGUCCUGGGCCGCACGCGCGUUACACUGAUGCAUUCAACGAGCUUAUAACCUUGGCCGAGAGGCCUGGGCAAUCUUGUUAACGUGCAUCGUGAUAGGGAUAGAUUAUUGAAAUUAUUAAUCUUGAACGAGGAAUUCCUAGUAAACGCAGAUCAUCAAUCUGCAUUGAUUACGUCCCUGCCCUUUGUACACACCGCCCGUCGCACCUACCGAUUGGAUGGUCCGGUGAAGCCUCGGGAUUGUGGCCAGUUCACUUUAUUGGGAGUUGGCUGUGAGAACUUGUCUAAACCUUAUCAUUUAGAGGAAGGUGAAGUCGUAACA